rnacentral:rRNA from 1 species
UACGUAGGGGGCAAGCGUUGUCCGGAUUUAUUGGGCGUAAAGAGCGUGUAGGCGGCUGGGUAGGUCCGUUGUGAAAACUCGAGGCUCAACCUCGAGACGCCGAUGGAAACCCCCCAGCUAGAGUCCGGAAGAGGAGAGUGGAAUUCCUGGUGUAGCGGUGAAAUGCGCAGAUAUCAGGAAGAACACCCGUGGCUAAGGCGGCUCUCUAGAACGGUACUGACGCUGAGACGCGAAAGCGUGGGGAGCGAACAGG